rnacentral:rRNA from 1 species
GGGGGGAGCAAGCGUUGUUCGGAUUUACUGGGCGUAAAGGGCGCGUAGGCGGCCAGCACAAGUCAGUUGUGAAAUCUCCGAGCUUAACUCGGAAAGGUCAACUGAUACUGUGCGGCUAGAGUGCGGAAGGGGCAACUGGAAUUCUUGGUGUAGCGGUGAAAUGCGUAGAUAUCAAGAGGAACACCUGCGGCGAAGGCGGGUUGCUGGGCCGACACUGACGCUGAUGCGCGAAAGCCAGGGGAGCGAACGGGAUUAGAUACCCCGGUAGUCCUGGCCUUAAACGAUGAAUGCUUGGUGUCUGGGGUUAUAAAGUCCCCGGGUGCCGUCGCUAACGCUUUAAGCAUUCCGCCUGGGGAGUACGGUCGCAAGACUG